GACAGAGGUGCCGAGCGUUAGGCGGAAUCACUGGGCUUAAAGCGUGUGUAGGCGGGCGAUCAAGUACCUUGUGAAAUCCCACGGCUCAACCGUGGAACCGCUGGGUAUACUGGUUGUCUUGAGCCGGCUAGGGGCGAGCGGAACAGACGGUGGAGCGGUGAAAUGCAUAGAUAUCGUCAAGAACACCGAUAGCGAAGGCAGCUUACUGGGCUGUAACUGACGCUGAUGCACGAAAGUGUGGGGAUCAAACAGG
rnacentral:rRNA from 1 species